CACUCCAUUGGCCUAGUGGUUAGAGUGUCCACCUCAGAUGUGGGAGGUCGUGGGUUCGAUCCUCGGUCGAGUCA